GCGUACAAAACCUACCUUUUACUGGGGGAAAGUCGCUGGAAACGGCGAAUAAUCCCGCAUACGACUUUAUUAACACAUGUUUAUAAAGUGAAAGGCUUCGGCUGGUAAAAGAUGGUUGUGCGUCCCAUUAGCUAGAUGGUAAGGUAACGGCUUACCAUGGCGACGAUGGGUAGGGGGCGUGAGAGCGUGGUCCCCCACACGGGUACUGAGACACGGACCCGACUCCUACGGGAGGCAGCAGUAAGGAAUAUUGGUCAAUGGAGGAAACUCUGAACCAGCCAUGCCGCGUGUGUGAUGAAU
rnacentral:rRNA from 1 species